UGAGCUUAUAGAGAAUAGUCAGCUGGUCCAUGCACUGCCUAGCUCUGAGGAAAGCAAAUUGCCUACUUCUGAGCCUCGGAAAUCUGCAUCUAUAGCUUGUGGAGCAAGUGUUUUUGAAGUUUCCUUGAAGGUUCCUACAUGGGCUUCACAGGUUUUGAGGCAACUGGCACCAGAUGUUUCUUACCGCAGCAUAGUUAUGCUAGGAAUUGCUAGCA
rnacentral:misc_RNA from 1 species